UGGAGCUCGUGAGGAGGCGGCCGGAGGAGAUUCGAGAGAGAGAGAGAGAGAGAGAUGGGAGCAGCGUUUUUUUUUUGUUUGAGAGAGAGAGCCGAGGUUGUGAGAAGGAGAAAGAGAAGUUGCAGUGUUUCUAAUCUUGAUAAUUGAGAGAAAGAGAGAGGGUUCUGCUUUUAAGAAAAAAAAGGGAGAGAGAUUCGGUUUUAUUGAAUUGUGAGAGAUAGGAAUAAUCUUGCUUUAAUAAAGAUUGAGAGAGAUGAUGUUGAGUGGCGUUUAAUUUUGAUAAAGGAAGAGGUAGUGGAGUGAUUUGUUGAUUAAUUAAAAAAGAGUGUGUUAGUGAUUGAUUUUGAAAGAAAAGGGAGCCGGAUUUGAGCCGGGUUUG
rnacentral:lncRNA from 1 species